UUCGAGGUUGCAAUUCAAUUGCCAACAGGUUUUCGUUACUAUCACCGCUUUUUCCUAAUGCACAUGUGAUAUCAUAAUUGAAUUCAUAAAUAUAUUUGAGGUUUUGCAUGUGGACUUAAGUAUGCCUGGAUACCUUGAAUUGUUGUAAUGGAUGCCGCUGUUUUUCGCUCUGUUUUGAUCUUUGCCUAUCUGACCUGUUUUAUUAUAACCAUGCUUUGUUUACCUGAUACUAUUACUGCUUUGGUGCAACUCUUGAUUUGCACCCUGAUUUGGUACUCUA
rnacentral:lncRNA from 1 species